CCCCGAGAAGGCGGAGUGCAAAUUCGCCAUAAGCACCCUUAUAGGUGCCGGGGCUU
rnacentral:tRNA from 1 species